GGGCUCACUUCCACAGCACACACACGAAAAUUAGAACAAUACAGAACAGAUUAUCACGGCCCCUGCGCAGAGUUGACACACAAACUCUUGAAGCGGGUCAUAUUUUU
ensembl:snRNA U6 U6 spliceosomal RNA